AUGGCAGACAUUGCCUUCGUUGAUGCUUCUCGCCGUGGCGUCAUGGCGCUGAUUUUAAAAGUUAAAAAGUGGAAUUGUCACUUUAUUAUCGGUGGCGAGCAGCAAUUAGCAACAAAAGAAAACGAUGGCGGUGUCGUGUCUUUCCACUUUCAUCUGAAUCUCCUAGCGAAAUGCCCCGACAUCCCCAUCCUGAAACAAAUCCACUCCCUCAUCAUCAACACCCUCUUCGCCCAGAGCAAGCUCAUCGAAUUCUGCGCCCAUUCUUCCUCGGACCUCUCCUACGUCCUCUCUCUCUUCCACUCCAUCCAACACCAACACCCACACCCCCAACAUCUUCAUCUGGAACACCCUCAUUCGCGCCCACUCCGGCCUCUACCCCAAUUCCCCCACCUUCCCUUCCCUCUUCAAGUCCUGCGCCAAAUCCAAAGCCGCCCAUGAAGCCAAACAGCUUCACGCACAUGCCCUCAAGCUCGCCCUUCACUGUCAUCCACACGUCCACACUUUGAUCGUUCACAUGUAUUCCCAAGUUGGGGAGUUACGGGAUGCGUGCUUGAUGUUUGAUAAAAUUACUCUGAGAGUCGCCGUGUCUUUCACUGCUAUUAUUACUGGGUAUGUCUCCGAGGGCCACGCGGAUGACGCUCGACGCCUUUUCGACGAAAUUCCCGCCAAGGAUGUGGUUUCAUGGAUGCCAUGAUUGCUGGGUAUGUCCAAAGUGGUCGCUUUGAGGAAGCCCUGGCUUGCUUUACACGCAUGCGGGAGGCUGACGUGUCGCCGAAUCAGAGCACGAUGCUGAGUGUUCUUUCCGCUUGUGGCCAUUUGGGGUCGCUUGAGAUGGGGAAAUGGAUCUUUUCUUGGGUUAGAGAUCGCGGGCUUGGUAAGAAUCUUCAGCUUGUUAAUGCACUCGUUGAUUUGUAUUCCAAGUGUGGUGAAAUUGACACCACGCGUGAGUUGUUUGAUGGGAUUGAGGAAAAAGAUAUGAUUUUGUAGAAUACUAUGAUUGGUGGUUAUUGCUACUUGAGUUUGUACGAGGAAGCCUUGGUGCUGUUUGAGCUCAUGAUUAGAGAAAAAAACGUAAAGCCCAAUGAUGUAACGUUCUUGGGCGUUCUUCCGGCUUGUGCUUCCCUUGGUGCUCUUGACCUUGGCAAGUGGGUUCAUGCUUAUAUAGAUAAAAACUUGAAAGGCACGGAUAAUGUGAAUAAUGUUUCUCUUUGGACUAGUAUCAUCGACAUGUAUGCAAAGUGUGGCUGUGUUGAGGUCGCGGAACAAGUGUUUAGAAGCAUUGGUUCUUAAAGUUUGGCUUCUUGGAAUGCCAUGAUAUCAGAGCUAGCUAUGAAUGGACAUGCAGAGAGGGCUCUUGGCCUUUUCAAAGAAAUGAUCAAUGAGGGGUUCCAGCCCGACGAUAUCACGUUUGUUGGAGUAUUGUCUGCUUGUACUCAAGCUGGUUUGGUGGAUCUUGGACACAGAUAUUUCAGUUCAAUGAACAAGGAUUACGGGAUAUCACCAAAAUUGCAACACUAUGGUUGCAUGAUAGAUCUUCUGGCUAGAAGUGGAAAGUUUGAUGAAGCAAAGGUUUUGAUGGGAAAUAUGGAAAUGGAGCCGGAUGGAGCUAUUUGGGGUUCUCUGCUUAAUGCUCGUAGGGUUCAUGGACAGGUUGAAUUCGGUGAAUAUGUUGCAGAACGUCUCUUUGAAUUGGAGCCAGAAAAUUCCGGGGCUUUCGUGCUUUUGUCAAACAUAUAUGCAGGAGCUGGCAGAUGGGAUGAUGUAGCAAGGAUAAGAACUAAGUUAAAUGACAAAGGAAUGAAGAAAGUUCCUGGUUGCACCUCUAUAUAGAUUGAUGGUAUUGUGCAUGAGUUCCUUGUUGGUGAUAAGUUCCACCCGCAGAGUGAAAAUAUUUUUAGAUUGCUGGAUGAGGUAGAUAGGCUUUUGGAGGAGACUGGGUUUGUGCCUGAUACUUCUGAGGUACUCUAUGAUAUGGAUGAGGAGUGGAAGGAAGGGGCUUUGAAUCAACACAGCGAGAAGUUGGCUAUUGCUUUCGGUUUGAUAAGCACAAAGCCGGGGACUACAAUUAGGAUCGUGAAGAAUCUUCGUGUUUGUCCAAAUUGCCAUUCGGCUACUAAGUUAAUAUCCAAGAUCUUCAAUAGGGAAAUAAUUGCAAGAGAUAGAAACCGUUUUCACCAUUUCAAAGACGGGUUUUGCUCAUGCAAUGACUGCUGGUGAAACUUUAUGUAUAUGUUCAAUGGUAUAUAACACAUGCACUUCUGUAGAAAGAAAGGUGAAUAACUUGCAUUCAUGUAAUUAACUGAUAGAUUGGUAUAUAUAUGUGGUCUCUCACUUU